UACGUAGGGGGCUAGCGUUGUCCGGAAUCAUUGGGCGUAAAGAGCGUGUAGGCGGCCGGUAAGUCCGCUGUGAAAGUCGGGGGCUCAACCCUCGAAUGCCGGUGGAUACUGUCGGGCUAGAGUGCGGAAGAGGCGAGUGGAAUUCCUGGGUGUAGCGGUGAAAUGCGCAGAUAUCAGGAGGAACACCAAUUGCGAAGGCAGCUCGCUGGGACGUAACUGACGCCUGGAGACGCGAAAGCGUGGGGAGCAAACAGG
rnacentral:rRNA from 1 species